UGGGGAAUAUUGCACAAUGGGCGCAAGCCUGAUGCAGCCAUGCCGCGUGUGUGAAGAAGGCCUUCGGGUUGUAAAGCACUUUCAGCGGGGAGGAAGGCGUUAAGGUUAAUAACCUUGGCGAUUGACGUUACCCGCAGAAGAAGCACCGGCUAACUCCGUGCCAGCAGCCGCGGUAAUACGGAGGGUGCAAGCGUUAAUCGGAAUUACUGGGCGUAAAGCGCACGCAGGCGGUCUGUCAAGUCGGAUGUGAAAUCCCCGGGCUCAACCUGGGAACUGCAUUCGAAACUGGCAGGCUAGAGUCGUGUAGAGGGGGGUAGAAAUCCAGGUGUAGCGGUGAAAUGCGUAGAGAUCUGGAGGAAUACCGGUGGCGAAGGCGACCCCCUGGACAAAGACUGACGCUCAGGUGCGAAAGCGUGGGGAGCAAACAGG
rnacentral:rRNA from 1 species